rnacentral:lncRNA from 1 species
CUUUCCCUUGGAUGCAUGCCUGGGAGUGCCAUUCUGGAAUGCUAACUCUGUGUUUAACUUUUAGAGGAACUGCCAGGCUAUUGGUGCUGUCUUCAGUCUUCCAGAGCCCUAAGAAAAGGUAAAACUCAACACUGUGGUGACGAAUCUUGGCUGUCAACUUGACCACAUCUGGAAUCAACUAAAACCCGAGCAGCUGGAUGCACCUAGAUAUAUUUUGGGCUUUCUAGAAGUUUCUACAAACUCAGAGACACUGUUGUGGAUUAACAAAGUCCUCUGUUAAAGCCCAAGCCCCUGGGAUCUCAGAAGGUAACUGUAUUUGGAGAUAUUCUUUGAAGUUAAAAUGAAGUUGUUACAGUGAGG